CAAGAAGUAGUUUAAUUAGAAUACCAGCUUUGGGUGCUGAUGGUAGGGAUUAAUUUCUUUCUUCUUGA
rnacentral:tRNA from 1 species